rnacentral:rRNA from 1 species
GACGGACGCUGGCGGCGUGCUUAACACAUGCAAGUCGAACGGAAAGGCCCUGCUUUUGUGGGGUGCUCGAGUGGCGAACGGGUGAGUAACCCGUGAGUAACCUGCCCUUGACUUUGGGAUAACUUCAGGAAACUGGGGCUAAUACCGGAUAGGAGCUCCUGCUGCAUGGUGGGGGUUGGAAACUUUCGGCGGGUGGGGAUGGACUCGCGGGUUAUCAGCAUGGUGGUGGGGGUGUGGCUUACCAAGGCUUUGAGGGGUAGCCGGCCUGGGAGGGUGACCGGCCACAUGGGGACGGAGGUACGGGCCGGAAGCCGAGGGGAGGCAGCAGGGGGGAAUAUUGCCCAAUGGGCGGAAGCCUGAUGGAGCAAUGCCGCGUGCGGGAUGGUGGCCUCCGGGUUGUAGACCGCAUUCGCCUGUGACGGAGCGUGAGUGACGGUAAUGGGAAAAGAAGCACCGGCUAACUACGUG